rnacentral:rRNA from 1 species
GACGAAGGGGGCUAGCGUUGUUCGGAAUCACUGGGCGUAAAGGGUGCGUAGGCGGGUCUUUAAGUCAGAGGUGAAAUCCUGGAGCUCAACUCCAGAACUGCCUUUGAUACUGAGGAUCUUGAGUUCGGGAGAGGUGAGUGGAACUGCGAGUGUAGAGGUGAAAUUCGUAGAUAUUCGCAAGAACACCAGUGGCGAAGGCGGCUCACUGGCCCGAUACUGACGCUGAGGCACGAAAGCGUGGGGAGCAAACAGG